GGGCGAGGACUCAGUGCCGGCGACACGGAGGUGACCUGCUUGUGUUGCAGGAUGCCGCUCUCAUGCUGGCUCUUAUGCAACUCUUCCACUCCCAAGGUUAAGGCAGAGCGUUGAAGGGUCUGACGAACGCGUCCUUCUGGGUGGGCGGUGUGCGUGUGGGCGUGGAGGACUGGUGGUGGGUGGACGGCUCCUACCUCACCCUCGGCAGCGCCUUCUGGUACCCGACCUUCGCCAGGCGACCCAAGGAGGUCCCCGAGUCCAGGCCGCCGCCGCUACACCGGGACUCGACCCGGCGCCGGAGACAAGGAGCGCAUCGUCCGCCCGCGCCGGAGACCGGGCGAAGAGGGACAAGUGGCGGCAGAGCGGCUCAGUUUCGGCCCAGAGGAUCGCACCACCAGAAGCAACGAACAUCGAAGUCCAAGUUUUCAAGAAUUAGACAGACUCCAGCAACACAGCAGCUUAAGCAUUCAGCAUUUAAGCGAGCAAAACCGGCUGAGUUGAUGUCUAGUGUCCAGCGCCCUGUAGCGCUACCUGCUGAUGGCGUCUCCGGAAACACGCUGUCUUCAGGAGACGGCGCUCCACCGGCGGCGUAUACGCGGCCUUCCAAGACCUCUACGCAUCCAGUUAGUCCCUCUCAUGCCUCUCCAGGAACUCGAAGGGACCCUAAAAUCUUAGUUAAUCAUCCAGGAGAACUUGAACAGCAGAAAUAUAAUAAUCAUAGAGAGGAGAGGACCUCAGACGGUCUCUGGAUAAGAGAGUCUCAAGGUCGUCAACAAACCGCUGCUGCCAUUCUAAGGGUGCGACAGUUGGCAGCGACGUCACUCCCUGGAGGAGCACGACACCCUCGCCAGGAGCCCUUACAGACUACCGAAGAAGGCCUGUUGGUGUUGGGCGAGCGGAUACCUGACCAGCCCCUGAGAGCUGUGUGUCUGUGGGCCAGGUUCAGGCACUUCUUCGCCUCGUGCGCGGCCACAGAGCGCCUCAGAGCCCUCUGUGAGUACAAGGCUGGCGCAUCAGAACAUAAACCCAUACCAUCUCUCACAACUAUGCUACACCAUUAAAUCAAAAUAAACAAGACGUACCCACAUUCUGCUCAAGCAAUGACGACGUGAAGUUCAUCUUUUGAAACAAGAUGCAAAAUAUAUUAAUUCAAACAACUGUUUUUAUAGCUGAAAAAAUUGUAAGAAAAGCAGCAGUUAUCAUGCAAGAAUGAGAGUGACUGUAGAGUACAGGAUAACAUUACCAAGGCACUAAAGGUAGGUACAAUCACCAGGCUCAACACCAGCCACAGAGGAACCACCAGCUCACACAAUCAACUCUAUAUAUGACUACAAUCUUUGGAUAAUCAUGAGCAUGUGUUAUAUAACUUAAAUAAAACUUGGAUAUAUA